CGCCCAGUCGCGAUGCGGGCCGAGGCUGAGCCCUCGUGGCCUCCGCAAGUCGCCACCGCCUAUGGCGGUGAGCACCACCUCCCUCUAGGCCUCCGCCGACGGAUCGUCGCCGCCCGGAGCUCCUCCGGCCGCCGCCGGCCGCCGCGGACCUCCUGAACCCGAGAGCUGUUGGAGGAAUUGAUCUCCUCCGCCGCGCCACCGGCCGCCUCCCGCCGUCGGCCAGCAGGUUCCCCGGACCCCUUGGACCAGCUGCUACCAUCUCCGGCCGAAGCGCUCGCCGUCCGGCCGCCGACGGCCAGCCCUAGCUCUGCCCUGGCCGGUAAGCAAUGUUUUUGCUGUUCUGCGCAUUGUCGCCUGUUUAGAUCACUGUUCCGGCGACCCGGGGCCGUUCCGAUGCCCCCGGAGGUGAGCACGGUGAUCGUCAGUCAGUCCCGAUCACAAUUCUCACCUCAUUUAGGGUCAGCGAGCUCCGGAUGAGUUAAUUAGAUGCAUUUUAGUUUCAGUGCGCGC
rnacentral:lncRNA from 1 species